rnacentral:rRNA from 1 species
GACGAACGCUGGCGGCGUGCUUAACACAUGCAAGUCGAACGGAAAGGCCCUGCUUUUGUGGGGUGCUCGAGUGGCGAACGGGUGAGUAACACGUGGGUAACCUGCCCUUGACUUUGGGAUAACUUCAGGAAACUGGGGCUAAUACCGGAUAGGAGCUCCUGCUGCAUGGUGGGGGGUGGAAAGUUUCGGCGGUGGGGGAUGGACUCGCGGCUUAUCAGCUUGUUGGUGGGGUAGUGGCCUACCAAGGCUUCGACGGGUAGCCGGCCUGAGAGGGUGAACGGCCACAUUGGGACUGAGAUACGGCCCAGACUCCUACGGGAGGCAGCAGUGGGGAAUAUUGCACAAUGGGCGGAAGCCUGAUGCAGCAACGCCGCGUGCGGGAUGACGGCCUUCGGGUUGUAAACCGCUUUCGCCUGGGACGAAGCGUGAGUGACGGUAACGGGUAAAGAAGCACCGGCUAACUACGUG